rnacentral:misc_RNA from 1 species
GAUGAAGAACGUAGCAAAAUGCGAUAAGUAAUGUGAUUUGCAGAAUUCAGUGAAUCAUCGAAUCUUUGAACGCACAUUGCGCCCGCUGGUAUUCCGGCGGGCAUGCCUGUUCGAGCGUCAUUUCAACCCUCAAGCCCCCGGGUUUGGUGUUGGGGAUCGGCUCUGCCCUUCUGGGCGGUGCCGCCCCCGAAAUACAUUGGCGGUCUCGCUGCAGCCUCCAUUGCGUAGUAGCUAACACCUCGCAACUGGAACGCGGCGCGGCCAUGCCGUAAAACCCCAACUUCUGAAUGUUGACCUCGGAUCAGGUAGGAAUACCCGCUGAACUUAAGCAUAUCAAUAAGCGGAGGA